GGGUAUAACCCAAUCACCCCAAGAACAUUUUGCUGUCAUUUCUUCGGUCACAUUGAAUCCAUAGUGAACUUGCCUGGGGCUGAAACCCAUUGGCAAGACUCCCCCUCCCGCACACUUACACACAUUGUAAUCAGGUCCAGGAACCCGAAUGGAGUUAUAAUACUACUAUUACUGCCAUGUAUAAUAUUGUCAUACAUAUAUGUAGGGAAAAAAUACACCAUUGUAUCUGGUGUUGGACGAGAGGGAAAAACACAUGCUAUGGAGAAAAGGGAAAGCAGAGUGAGGGGGUCCGGGAGAGCCGGCUGCCGAGGGGGUGCGACCAGAGCGGAGGCCGGAGAGUGCUGAGGGAGGAGCCCCAGCAGAUGCACAGGUCCUGGCAGGCUGCACCUAGCAGGCUGCGCCACCAGCAAGAGGCCAGUGUGGCUGGGGUGAGUCGGUGGGGACUGGCUGGGUGGGGACAGAGGCCUUGGGGGCCUCAGUGCAGCCACUGGUCCCACCCUUCUAGCUAAAGAUUCUAGAGGCUCUGAUUUCAAAAGUAAGGUGCUGUCUUCACCUUGCAAUAGAGACAGAACCCGUGGCCUCUUCUGCUUCAGAAGUUUUAAUUAUGAAGAAAAAAUCAAAUUCCAGGCAUUGAGAGCAGUCUGGUGGGGCAUGGCAGGCCAUGUUUGGUAACACCACAUCCAAGGGACCAGCAGAUGAUCAUGAGAAGGAUCACGGGCCACGGAACCAGCUUUUGAACUGCCACGGAGCCACAGAAAGAGCAGCAUUUCUUCCUCUGGUUCUUGCCAAGCGAGGUCUCUUGACAGUAGCUGCUGUGUGCGUGCCUGCUGCCUCGGGGCCCAGCUGGAACCUUCUGUAAUUCCAUCCUGUGCUGUGGGACGUGGGAUUGAUCUCAGAAGAGCCGAUGGCGAGAGCAUCGUGAUGGGGGCCUCCAUGUGCCCUCGAUUUGGAUGGAAGCAGCACAUAAAUAGCUGUUGGGAUAUUAAUCACAUGAAAAUUGUGCCCAGGAUUUCCCAGGGCAGCCGGGUAAGCCUGUGAGUCAAUUGUUAAUUACCCACGGCUGACGCUUCUCAUUCGGGGAUUCUUCCAUCUCUCACUCAGCGCCCGAGGCUGGUCAUGAGGCCCUGGGCUGUGCUCGGCAGAGGUUAGCUGGGUGAUGCAGAUUUAAUUGCUGCUUAUGCGUUUCUUAAAAAAUCUAAAGUGUGCGUAACAUGAAAUUUACCUUUUUAGCCAUUUUUAAGGGUCCAGCUCAGUGUCAUUUAGCACAUUCAUAUUGUUGUGAAAACAUCCCCACCGUCUAUCUCCAGGCUCUUUUUGUCUUGCAAAACUGAAGCUCUGUCCCCAUGAAACACUGACUUUCCACUCCCUCCUCCAGCCCCUGGCAACCAUCGUUCUACUUUCUGUCUCUAUGAAUUUGACUCCUCUUGGGACCUGCAGAGAAAAUGAAAGUGCCUAUGGCCAGAGUUCUCGCCUGACCCUUGUCAGCAUGCUCACGUGUGGGCAGUACAUUAUUACUGACUCUAUAUGAAGAGCUCCACCCAGUGCUCUGGGUUGAAUGGCUGCAGGAGGGCAGAGGCGGGAGUGGUGGCAGCGCCCAGGACAGAGACAGACACGGCUGCGGGGACACAGAGGCCUGGAGCCAGAGACGGGCUGGCCGCAUGCAGACUUACCCUGAGGCAGAUGGAAUUCUAGAGUCUGACCUACCACUGUGGGAAUAAGGGUCACCCUGCUGCCUGACGUGCAUGUGCAUGAGAUGGUCUGGGAACAACCGGCUUGGUCAGAGACAGUUCUCUCUGCAGCUCGGCGUUGGACAACCUGUUUUGCUGCAGUCUCAUAGAUGCCACUCCCAGGCUUAAUUUGCACUGUGUUGUGAGGACAGUGGAAGUCACUGAGGAGAGUCUACAGGAGAGGAUUCUGGAUGUAAGCCUACAGAACAGACAAGUAAAUACACAAAUCUGCCCCAUCAUUUGGAAGCUGGAACUGGAUGUUGGACACUGGCACUGGAGAGGGGAUGUCCUUUUUCAUGUAAGAUUCUCUGGGGUGACAUAAAUACAGAACCCUUUGUUGUAGUAGAUCAGGAUUAAAUUCUAGGCACUGAAUUUUCAUAAUUUAUCUCGUAGACUGAUAAGGUUUUGUCCAUGUCACAUGUAGAGAUGGUCCCACCCCAGCUGGCCCAGCUUCUGUCUCCAAAUCUCCAAAUCAGUGUACGGACAUCUGUAAGUGGGAGGCUUCAGAGCCUAGGGGCGUGCCCAGGGGCAGUGGGGAGCACAGUGGGGGAGACAGAGCCUGUGUUUCGGAGGGGCUGCCCCUGGUCCCGACCCCAGCUGGAGCCAGAGGGCUCUGCUGUUGCCUCUCUUUCUUAUCCUUGUUUUUUCUUUUUCUGUAGUAUUUUUUUAAUCAAGUUAAUUUGUUUUUAAAAAUUGAGGUAUAACUGACAUACGACACUUACUAGUUCCAGUCGAACAACUUAACAAUUCGACAUUUGUGCAUAUCACAAAGUAAUCACUGUGAUGGGGGUCCUGGUGGCGCAGACACAGAGGAGCACGACGCAGGCUCAACCCUGUUCCUCCCUCACUGGCGUCCACCAAACCAGCCAUCAUCCAAGCAGCUCCUGAAUAAUGGGAUGGCUGGUCACAUGAUGCUUGUCACUGUGAGCUACCGAAAAGAUGAGAGAGAGCAGGAACCCAGGAGCCCCCUGCCACGAGGGACCUGAAGGCCAAAGGCCCAAGCCCCAAGCUCGCACUCAGGUGCAAGCCCAGCCCCAGCCUUAACCAGGGCUACUGCGCCACACUGUACAGUCACAAAAUAACCCCUACAAUAGGAUUAUUUGACACCAACCAUCAGUGAUGCUGUGUUGAGAACCCCUAACUUAGAUUGUCUUUUAACAAGCCCUUGAGAAAUGGGUCCAAUGCGGGACAACCCCUACAUACACCUCCUGCUUAUUUCACCACCACAGAAGCGGGAGAAAUGGUACCUUUUAGAUAUUUUCAGCUUAACCUCCCCAUGGCCAGCUUCAUACUGUCAAAGGAGUGAAAACAGAGCUCCUCUGCCAGCCUUAGAGAUGAAGGCUGAAUUUGUCCAUAUGUCCACACCAAAUAUGUCUAGAGAAUCAUGUCCCCGUACCCACACGUUUCUAGCCUGUUUUGGUGAUGUGAUGGUUCCUUUUAGGUGUUGACUUAGCUGGGCCACAGUGUCUGGGUAUUUGGUAGAACAUUAGUCUGGAUGUUUCUGAGAGGGUGUUUUUGGAUGAGAUUCACGUUUAAGUCUGUAGAGUUUGAGUAAAUCCGAUUGCCCUUUAUAAAGUAGGUGGGCCUUGUCCAGUCAGUUGAAAGACUGAGUGGAAAAAAGACUGGCCUUUCUCAGGCAAAGGGGGUUCUGCCAGCAGAUGGCCUUGGAGCUUAAACUGCGGCAUUAACUCUUCCUGAGUUUCCGGCCUGCCGAUUUUGGACUUGCCAGUCUCCAUAACCAUUGAGUCAAUGCCUUAAUAUCAUUCUGGAGUCUCCUCUCAGCGACCAGACCAGAUCUGAGUUUACAGACCCUGCCCUGACGUGUGAUCUAGUUCAAGUAUCUUAAACUCUGGGCUCACUUGCCUCACCCACGAAAAGGACACCAGGAUGACAACAGGCUGAAUCUUGACAGGAUUUCAUCACCAAACACAACCCGCAGCCCCCAGCAGUGACAGCAUCCUCCAGGAGUUUGCCAGCAAUGUAGGUUCUCAGGUCGCGUCCCACACCUGCUGAAUCAGAGGCUCUGUGGGUGGGGCCUAGUGAUUUGUGUGUUAAUGGACCCCCUGGGGGAUUCUGAAGGCCACACUGAAAAUAUAUCUUCUAGCACAUGCUUACAUCUAGAAUUUUAAAAAAGGUCAUUUCAGUCAUGUGGCCAAAAUAGCUGGCAAGUUCCUUGUUGGAAGUAUCCCUGCCUUCUCUGAGUUUUGGCAAACAGACAGGGUAAAGGCGAGUCUGUGGAUUUGCCCCACUGAAAUCACUGCUUCCACGGCUCUUCACAGUCUUUCCAGAUGGUAAGACCCACCUUGGGCACUUUUAGUGAAAAAUUCCAGAGCUCCACCUUAGAAUGCCUCCAAAUCCCCAGGAGAUUCUCCAGGCUUGUGUUUUGAACCGCCUCGUUGGCAUUUUGCUUACCUGGUGAAUUUGGGAAGCACCGCACUGAUGAGGCU